rnacentral:rRNA from 1 species
CGGCAACAGCUCAAAUUUGAAAUCUGGCCCUCUCAGGGUCCGAGUUGUAAUUUGCAGAGGAUGCCCCGGCGUCGGGCCCGGGUUAUGUCCCUUGGAACAGGGCGUCAGAGAGGGUGAGAACCCCGUCUUCACCCGGGACCCCUUCGCC